rnacentral:rRNA from 1 species
AAUUUUACACGGAUAACUGUGGUAAUUCUAGAGCUAAUACGUGCAACCAGCUCGUUCCUUCGUGGAGCGAGCGCAGUUAUUAGAACAAGACCAAUCCGGCCUUCGGGUCGGUACAAUUGGUGACUCUGAAUAACCGAAGCGGAGCGCAUGGUCUCGUACCGGCGCCAGAUCUUUCAAGUGUCUGACUUAUCAGCUUGUUGUUAGGUUAUGUUCCUAACAAGGCUUCAACGGGUAACGGGGUAUCAGGGUCCGAUACCGGAGAGGGAGCCUGAGAAACGGCUACCACAUCCAAGGAAGGCAGCAGGCGCGCAAAUUACCCACUCCUAGCACAGGGAGGUAGUGACGAAAAAUAACGAUGCGAGGGCUAAUAGCUUCUCGUAAUCGGAAUGGGUACACUUUAAAUCCUUUAACGAGGAUCUAUUGGAGGGCAAGUCUGGUGCCAGCAGCCGCGGUAAUUCCAGCUCCAAUAGCGUAUAUUAAAGUUGCUGCGGUUAAAAAGCUCGUAGUUGGAUCUGGGCUUCUGAAUGGAUGGUUCACUUUUCGGUGUAACUGUUCGUUUGGUGCCACAAGCCGGCCAUGUCUUGCAUGCCCUUUACUGGGUGUGCAUGGCGACCGGAACGUUUACUUUGAAAAAAUUAGAGUGCUCAAAGCAGGCGUAUGGCCUUGCAUAAUGGUGCAUGGAAUAAUGGAAUAGGACCUCGGUUCUAUUUUGUUGGUUUUCGGAACUCGAGGUAAUGAUUAAGAGGAACAGACGGGGGCAUUCGUAUUGCGGCGUUAGAGGUGAAAUUCUUGGAUCGUCGCAAGACGAACUACUGCGAAAGCAUUUGCCAAGAAUGUUUUCAUUAAUCAAGAACGAAAGUUAGAGGUUCGAAGGCGAUCAGAUACCGCCCUAGUUCUAACCAUAAACGAUGCCAACCAGCGAUCCGUCGGUGUUUUUUUUAUGACUCGACGGGCAGCUUUCCGGGAAACCAAAGUGCUUAGGUUCCGGGGGAAGUAUGGUGCAAAGCUGA